AUUGAACGCUGGCGGCAGGCCUAACACAUGCAAGUCGAACGAGUGGCGGACGGGUGAGUAAUGUCUGGGAAACUGCCUGAUGUAGGGGGAUAACUACUGGAAACGGUAGCUAAUACCGCAUACCAUCGGAUGUGCCCAGAUGGGAUUAGCUAGUAGGGGGGGUAAAGGCUCACCAAGGCGACGAUCCCUAGCUGGUCUGAGAUGUUGACCAGCCAAACUGGAACUGAGACACGGUCCAGACUCCUACGGGAGGCAGCAGUGGGGAAUAUUGCACAAUGGGCGAAAGCCUGAUGCAGCCAUGCCGCGUGAAUGAAGAAGGUUUUCGGGUUGUAAAGCACUUUUGGCAGGGAGGCGUUACCCGCCGAAGAAGCAACGGCUAACUACGUGCCAGCAGCCGCGGUAAUAC
rnacentral:rRNA from 1 species